GUCUAUGACCCUGCCACCCUGAACAAGCGGUAUCCUGUCUCAUCUCAGAAGCUAAGCAGGGUUGGGCCUGGUUAGUACUUGGAUGGGAGAUCACCUAGGAAGACCAGGUGCUAUAGGCA
rnacentral:rRNA from 1 species